GAGAAUUUUAAUAUUUAUUUUUUAGUUUUCAGCGGACACAACAUCUUUGUUUGUAUGUGGUGCUGAGGAACGAACCUGGGCCACACGCAUGCCAGGCGAGCACGCUACCGCUUGAGCCACAUCCCCAGCUCCAGAAAGUAAUUUCAAGAAGGGUACAGAGACAAGCAAAGCUGACCAGACGGGUCCGGCUUCUAACAAAGAAAGGAGCCUAUGUUUGCUUUAUUUUUAACAGAAGACAUCAAAGAAAUUCUAUGGAAAGUUCUUCACCAAAACAGGAUAGAGAUGGGGGCAGGUAGGCUGCUCCAUUCCUAGCAGAGUCAUGCCCAUCUCCAGUGCUGCGUGGGACCUUCUGGCAGAGCAGAGGGGAAGUUCACUUGCAUCAGGCAGUCUAUCCUGGUGGCACUGCCACAAGAAGUUCCCAGUGCCAGUCUACCCACUCCUUGGCUACGAUGCUGAAAAGGUCCUCAUGUAUUUCACAGAUGGCUUCCCGCAUAUUCCCUCUUUUUACUUUGUAAAUGUAAAUGAUGAGCUGUUAGUUCAAGCUCCCACAUUUUUGUUCUAAGGGUACGACAACCUAUUGAUACAAAAGAGAAUUAGUAGCAAACAUAUCAUACCAAUAACAUACCAUACAGAAUGUUUCAGCGUAUUUCCAGGAUUAAAGCCAUUCAAUUCUUGAAGUAUUUGGUCAGCUAGAAGGUAGGGUUCGUAAGAUUGAUUUUGCUUUUUUAAAUAUCCUGGAUGUGACAAUGUAACUCCAUGGAUCCAGGCUACUAUUAUUGCUAUGCCAAAUACCCAUUAGAUGAUUUUUAACCUUUCCAUAAUCCCAUUGGGAAGUAUUAUAUUUGGCCACAAUAAUAAGAGACAUAUUUAUAGUCAGCGUGGCAUUUAAGCCUUUUCUUAAAGCAGAAAGCUCAUUACCAAUAUUUAUGACAGUAGCUUCCAAGGCAUUCAAAUUAGUUUCAAUCUUUUCAUCAAUAUUUAUCUGAUUGGGGCUGGGGUUGUAGAUCAGCAGUAGAGUACUCUUGCCUAGCACGUGUGAGGCCCUGGGUUCAAUCCUCAGCAUCACAUAAAAAUACAUUAAAAAAAAAAAAAAAGGUACAAUACCUUUUUGUCCAACUACAACUAAAAAAUAAAUAUUAACAAAAUUUAUCUGAUUAUGGAGGGCUUUGGGAGUAUUUUG
rnacentral:lncRNA from 1 species